rnacentral:rRNA from 1 species
AUUGAACGCUGGCGGCAUGCCUUACACAUGCAAGUCGAACGGCAGCACGGGUGCUUGCACCUGGUGGCGAGUGGCGAACGGGUGAGUAAUACAUCGGAACGUACCUUAUCGUGGGGGAUAACGCAGCGAAAGCUGUGCUAAUACCGCAUACGCCCUGAGGGGGAAAGCGGGGGAUCGCAAGACCUCGCGCGAUUAGAGCGGCCGAUGCCUGAUUAGCUAGUUGGUGGGGUAAAAGCCCACCAAGGCGACGAUCAGUAGCUGGUCUGAGAGGACGAUCAGCCACACUGGGACUGGGACACCGCACAGACUCCUACGGGAGGCAGCAGUGGGGAUUUUUGGACAAUGGGGGCAACCCUGAUCCAGCAAUGCCGCGUGAGUGAAGAAGGCCUUCGGGUUGUAAAGCUCUUUUGUCAGGGAAGAAACACCGGCUCUAACACAGUCCGGGAAUGACGGUACCUGAAGAAUAAGCACCGGCUAACUACGUGCCAGCCGCCGCCGUAA